UCUCCGUUGGUGAACCAGCGGAGGGAUCAUUACUGAGUGAGGGCCUUCGGGCUCGACCUCCAACCCUUUGUGAACACAACUUGUUGCUUCGGGGGCGACCCCGCCGUUUCGGCGGUGGCGCUCCCGGUGGCCAAUUAUUAAACUCUGCAUCUCUUGCGUCGGAGUCUUAAAGAAAUUUAAACAAAACUUUCAACAACGGAUCUCUUGGUUCUGGCAUCGAUGAAGAACGCAGC
rnacentral:misc_RNA from 1 species